rnacentral:snRNA from 1 species
AUGACUUAGAACAUAUACUAAAAAAUUGGAAUGAUACAGAGAUUCGCAUAGUCCCUGUGCAAAGAUGACACACAAAAAUGAAGUGUGUGCAUGGGGGUA